UCCACUCUCCACUCCUUACUCCACUCCCUCCCAUCCCUCUCCCACCCCUCUCCCACGAAAAUGCUGCUCCUUCUAGCUACCUUGGCCGGCCAUGGCCAUGAAAAGCUCUCCAAGAUGAAGCUCUCCCCCUUCCCCAAGCUUCUCCUCUCCAUGAGAGCUUUCCUCUCCUUCUUCUCCCCAACCCUAGAUGGUUUUCUCUCCUCUUCUUCUUCCUCCCUUGCUAAGUUUGGAUCUUGAUGCAGGUGCAUGUUGGUCCAAGCAUGGAGAAGCUUCACCUAUCCUCAGAUCUGAAGUUCUUGACCAAAAUCAAGAUCUGGUCAGAUCUGACUUUGUCGAAUUAAACCAGGAGGCUGGAGACGAAUUUUUGAAUGAAACCAAUUGGAUGCGAACGAUUCCGGAGAAGAAGAAGAAGUGGUUCGGACAAGGAUUUUAUUUAUAUUGACGGGAUUCUUAUAUUGAUGAAGUUGAAGAAGUCCAGGGACAAAUAAGCCAAGGCAAGCCAUCUUUUGAUCUCUGAUAUGAUGUCUCUUUGGAUGUCAUCUUGUGCUAUCAAUAGCAUCUUGGUUCUAUGUGUGAUGAUCUCCAUAUUGUUGUCAUCUAUGCUUGGAUGCAAGCAUGGUACCUCUAGUAGUUUUAUCUUGUCAAGGUCUUGGUAAUUGGUUGGGUGUAUGGUAUCAUGGCCAUUGCUAUCCAACUUGCUUUCUAUAUUUAGCUUGAAUAAGUUCCACCUCGGGACAAGAUUCAUACUACACCCCCUUCUAGUGUAGAUGUAUCAAUACCAUGUUUUUGGUGUAUUCUCAAAUUGUGAUGAGUAUGCCUGUUUUCCCUUAAUGGUGUUGGUGUUGGUCAAUUCUCAUCCCUAUCUAUCUAUUGAUUGGGUUAGAUAGCACCACAAAUCUGAAAGUAUAUUUCCUCUUGUGUUGUCAUAAUACAUGCUUAGCUCAAGCAAGUAUGAUCCACUCCAAUACCUCUUUUUCAUACCCUCAAUGGCGUGAUGACCCUCAUCUCGGCCAUAGUGUUGUAUUAGUUCAACUCAUGAAACUUUAGAUUGGGAACCCCUCAAGGUUUACCUUGUUGUAAAUGUUUAUGAAAACCUUGGGUGAGGCAAUCUUACCCAAGCGUAUGGUUUAUGAAAGGAAAGGAUCUUGACAAAGAUGGUUGGAAAGAGGAAGGUGUGUGUGACUUGGGUUUUUGACAAAAACGACACAUGGUUCUUUGUAUUCGCCCGGAACAACUAAACAGCGCAACCAUAGCUACUCCAACGUGGGCACGGGGCUUAACUUGACGUUUGUUCUUCUUAGCAUGAGGCA